GCUCAAUAAUGUUUAGGUAUGAGGCACACGAUAGUUGCUCUCUAAAUUACAAAUUUUAAAGUCGUGAAUAAAAAUAAAGGAACAGAAAUUAUGUUAACUCCUUUUAGUAGCAGUCAAUUUUUAAGCACAACUGUUUUAAACCACAGGACAGAGAACUUGAGAGAGAAAAUCUUCAGGUGAAGCAAGCAAGCUGAAACUGAGGAAAUUCUUCCUGAAAGAAUGAUUUAUUUCUUCCAAAGAAAUUUGGUUUAUCAAAAUCAAUCAACAAAUGAGUGAACCCAUGGUGUGGUUUUUUACAGCAAAAUUUAAAACCCAACAGAUUUCUCUUUCCCAUCUAGCAUGCUUCUGUCUAACCUCUCAGCAUUAGUUGGAAGGGAGACUUACCUAACGGGUGAAUUUGGGAGAAGGAGCUAAGCAGUGCUUAUGUGUUUCUGAGUCUCCUCUUUGAAAAGAUGUGCCUGCCCACAGUAACAUGAAUUUGGGUCUGCUCUCAGCUCUGUGAGAAGAACAGUGUUACUUGUCGCCUACCCAGUGUCACCUGUCACAGCUCCACCAAGAAAAAUGACUAGACAACACUUACAGAAACAUUCUCUUCUUCCUUGACUUCAUAACUAAUAUACAUUGUUCAAAAGCAACGCCCACUCAAAAGAGAAAAAUUGAAAGAAACCAUUUUAGAAACAAACAUAGAAAGUCAGACAAACUGAGGACACAGAGGAAUACCUUCCAAACGAAAGAACAUGACAAAACCUAAGGAAAAAAAAAACUAACAAAACUAAGAAAAAAAAACUAAGAAAAAAAGAGACAAGUGAUGAGUUCAAGGUAAAGGUCAUAAAGAUGCUCAGUGAACUUGGGAGGAGAAUGAAUGGAUCCAGUGAUAACAUCUACAAACAGAUAGAAAAUAUAAAAAAGAACCAAUCAGAGCUGAAGGAUACAAUAACAGAAAUGACAAAUACACUAAGGGGCAUCAACAGCAGAUAAGAAGAUGCAGAAGAACAGAUCAACAAUUUGCAAGACAGGGUAGUAGAAAUCAUCCAAGCUGAAAGACAGAAAAAAGAACUUUAAAAAUGAGACUAGGUUAAGGGACCUGUGGGACAACAUUCAGUGUAAUAAUACUUGCAUUCAAGGGGUUCCAGAAAAAGAAAAGAGAAACGGGCAAAGAACUCAUUUGAAGAAAUAAAAGCUUCAUUUUAAAAAUUCAAAUAUUUGCUUGAUUUAGCUAUUUAUAAAAUGCUCUACAAUUGCUCAGCAAGGUGUUUUAUAAAAAUUGAAACAGAGGUGCUAUUAGUCAAA